UUCAACAACCCCAAUGGGAGCCCCUGUUCUUCUCUACACAGCUAUGACCUGUGUCACUGUGCAGCUCAGCCCCUCAGUGCCCUAAAGCUCAGUUUUCUGUCUCCACAUGGUUGCUGUAUCUUAGUGAACUCAAAUCUCAAUCCCUGUGUCUCACGCAGUGAUGCUCAGCAGCAUCCUCAUGAUCACAAAGGCCAGUUGCUGCAAAACAGGCUCUUGGAGUGGUCUUUGGAGUUGAAUGCAUUAUACUGAAUUAAAGCCUGUAGUGUGCAUAACAUCUAGCAUCAGUGUGAACAAAUCAUUCCAACCCUACAAAUUGCUAAGGAGUAACAAGUGGGAUACAACAUACAACUGACAUUGUUAUAUAAAAAUUUAAAACAAAAUUAUUGACUAGAGACACUGUACUGCUUCCUUCCAUCUAAGUUGAGCAUUCAAAGAUGGGAUACUUGACAUGUCCUACAUCCAGCUCAGACACCACUAUCUCCAGCUCCAUCCUGAUCCUGAUAUAUCCUUGCUCUGUCACUAACCACUCAUAUUCCCCAGGCAAACACCAGGAUUGGCAUUUUAGGAUUUAGUGAAGGCCCUUAGUCCACUGACAGUGUCUGCUUGAGAAGGAAAUGGCCCCUGCAGGAGGGUUACACCUACCUUUGCUUACACCUCCCUGUGUCCAUUUUCCCUGGACAGGUGUUUCUUAUCUGGGACACAAGAAUGACUGAAUAAAAGGUACUUUUACAGGUCCCUAAUGCUUCUUUGGCUCUGAGCCAUCCUAUUUCACAUCCAGUAUUCUCAAGGCCUUCCUUCAUGGUACUGCUCUCACUUCAAUGUGGCAAUGCAAAAUAAGGAUGUAAAAUUGUGAAGACCUUUAAAUUCCAACCCAGAUUUCCUACCCUCUGCACUGGGGUCCUGAAGAUGUAUCAUCCAUCUAUGCAGAAAAUAACUCCUCUGGCCCAGAUAACUGCUGGUGUUGUCAAAGGAAAACAAGGACAUCUGUGGAUGAAGGAUGCCUUAUUUCUGCAGAUUGUCCCUCUCAGGGACCCCUAUAGAAGAUAGAUAACCAAAGAAUUGCAGUCUUUACAAGCUUUUACUUUUAAAUCAUGCAUGGAUCCAAGUCCUUGAGGAACAGGUCCCUUUUUGGGAAAGUUUCCCUUUACUGAAGUGUAAGGCAGGUCCCCUGUUAAAUUCCCUUCUGCUCUGUGUACCACAGACAGGGACCCGUAUUGAUCUUAUGCAUGCACUAGUGUUUCUCCUACACAUGGAAAAAGGUCACUGAGUAUCAACACCUUUGUCCACUGACCCUGGUGGAUUAGUUUCAGGGUCACCAAUUGGAGGCGACAGUUGCGUGAUGAGAGAAUUCAUCUCCAUCUAUGAGACUUAUAUUCUACAGGACACAUUCUAGCCAGGAUGGACACAAUGCUAGUGUGGUGGGUCCAGAUACUAAGCUUUUCCAUUGUUGACCUGAGAAACCAGGAUAGACAUGAACACAAACAUCCAUGAGUAUGUCAGGUGUGUGGCUACUUAGUUGAAGGAAAAUGUCUGUCCAGUGUGUCCUUCUGGGUCUGUGACUUCAGCUGCAUCUCAUGGCACACCUGGAUGUCCCAAAUGUGCAUGUGAGAUAGCCAUUGCAGUGAUCAUGAAGGGGAGAGGGAAAAAUGCUUUCAGCAUGGUAUGGAAGUUGUGGAAGCAGAUGCUGUUCAAGGUUGCCCUCUCUUCUCCCAAGUCUCCUCUGCCACUUGCAGCUUCACUAAAUUCUUCAGGUGAACCUGGGUCCUGGAGCUCCCUCAGCUCCAGUCCUAUCUCAUCACACAGUGUGCCUGAUGCUGUGGGAUUCUGUGAUCCCUAGGAUUUCCUAUCAUGUGACACCCACAAUAAAAGUCUAGGGAUUUGGAUCACUAUCCCCUGACAACUGUUCCUUUCUGAGACUGCCCAUUUGCUUUCAUUUAUUUCAUCUGUGAAUUAUUUUAAUUGUUCCAGAUCAUAUUUGAACUCUGAGCUCUGUACAUGAAAUAUGUUAUCUCUAUAUAGGAUCCAUUUCUGAAAAUGUCCUUCGUGUUGCCUUCCAUCUGCACCAAGUUCUGUGUCCAUUUCUCAAUGAUCAAUACUCUUUUCCCUGUAUCAGGGACCUGAAUGAUUAUUAUUAAUAUUUUUCUUGAGAUUCUGACAGCUUCUGGAGGUAACAUGUGGACUCUGUGGCACCUAGUAUGUGAUGUUAACUUCUCAUGGUCCUCUCCUGUCCUCCAGUCAUCCAGCAUCUUGAUAUCAGUGCUCCUUCCACUGUGGGCCUGAGGCACUUGCUAUACCAGGAAGCACUGCUUCCCUGGGAUCUGGAUAUUCUGUCUCUCUAUGAUAAUUUGUGUUCAUUCAGUCUGCAAAUGUAUUUCUUUCAUUGGUGAAUCAAAAGAGAAUGAUGUUUAAUUUAUCCAGUUUUUUGUAGAUUUGAGUAUGUGAUAAUAAUUUUCUAUUUCUUUACAAGUUGGAGAAAAAGCUAUGUACAACUUCAGCAGCCAAAUUUGAACUCAGUGGAAUUAGGGUUAUAGGAUCAAUAAUUGAAAAUGACAUUUGCACAUCCAUGACUGAAAAUGCAAUAACAGAGAAAGAAAGAGAAGGAAAUACAUGAAAUGUUUUAGACAUUUCAGGGAUGUAUUGUUAACUGGAAUUAAGAAGAUACAUCAGAGAGAAUCUGACUAAAUCUCAGGAGAUGAUGCAUUCUGGAAGAUGUCCUUGUUUUCACCUGGAAACAAAAGAUGCACGUGGGACAUCACAUCAGGAAUAGGAAAUCUCAGCCCUUAAAACAAGGACACAUCAAUGAUGAUGCUGGUCCAACUCAAGUGCAAGGCAAGCAGAGGAGGUGGAGGUGCAUCUGACUUCCCAGGAUAAGUGUGACCAUGGCUACAUUGUAUUUUGCUGAAUUAAUGAUUCCCUAAGUUCUAAAGUUUAAAUGGAAAGAACAGGCCAAAGUUCCACUCAAUGCACUCUCAUAGGAAGAGAACAUGAAAGCCCUUGGAUUCUGCCCUGAGUCCAGCCAGGCUGCCUUUUUUUCUUCUUCCCUGGGGUCUCUGUGUGUUGCUGGGGCUGAAGUGUGUGAUUAGGACUUCUGAGGGGGCCAAGGAGAAGAGAGAACUUUGAGUUCUCAGAACUUAGAAAUAAGAACUUGAUGCACUUAAUUUACUAAAGUGAAGCAUUUAUUCCUCAAUGAUAAAAUUGAUUGUUAUCCAGAAAAAAUUAAUACAUUCAUUUUAGAUGAUGAUUAAUUGCCAUAUUAAGAAAGCAAUGGUAUAUAUGAAUCUAGAGUGAAGCUGCUAGAUUGGUGAGGAGAAAUUUGUUUUUCAGCACAAUUGAAGAUACACCCAUAGGAAACAAGAGUAGCAAAAUAUGAGCAGUGAUUCCUGUCAAUACUUACAUGGCAGACUUGGAGGGAUGUAGAGACACAGAGCUGGAAAUGCUUGGGUAGCAAGUAUCAUGUCACACAUCAUAAGGACAUCCUUAACAACACAGCAUAUGCACCUGAAACUCUUUUGUUGUUAUUGUUGUUGUUAUUGUUGAUCAGGAGAACCUCUUGCCAGUUAAAAGCACCCCAGGUUUAUGUCUGAAUUUACACUGAGGUCUUCUCAGUGUGUUUUGCUCAGUAAAAUGUGAUGGUGUCCUUGGAAGUCAUGGAGUUCAGUUGCAGGUAAAAGUGGUUCCUAUUUGUGUCACCAGUGAGGGAGAUGCAGACUUGGAAAGCCAGGUGGUAGAUUGUGCUCCCUAACAAGUAUCCCAUCCAUUGUAGAGCUUUCCCAGGAGGCUGGUGGCUCCAACUCCAGUAGUUACUGCAAAAGAGCUCCUCAUGGCAGUGCAGGUGAAGGACUGGAGCUCAUCUCAUUCAGUAGGCUCGAUUCUGACUCACAAAGUGUCAGAUCAGACAGCACACAUGAGGACAAUAGGAGUCAUAAAGACUUGCCAAUCCAACAGCCAGACCCCUUAAACAUCUAGAGACCUCAGGACUAACCCUAAGGUUCAUGUUGUUUGCAUGUUGCCUGCAGGAUGAGGACACUCACAAUAGCUUAGCUGCUGACAGAAAUUUAUUCUGCUAGCCCCUGACCUAAUUUGCACUUAUGUGUUGAAAGGUAACAUAUGGGAUGCUGAGCCAGGGUGACUAUCAAUGUGUCCAAGAUUGGGCAUUACUGUGUAUGGGAGCUGCCCAGCCUAGCACUGACCAUGUGACAUUUAUCCAUGCCUAAGCUGUCCUCUGUUCUGUGGCUUUCAUGUGUGGUUGAUGUAGUUGUUAGGCAUGAUCCAAUGUCAAAAGAGGUAGAAUGCUCUUCACACUGCGGAAUCUAGCAGGCUACUUUAGUGAUCUCAACACGAGUGGGCUGGGGGCCUAUUGUUUCUAAAUUAUCAAUGAAGACCCAGCUUUGAGUUCAGUUUAAAUAAUUUUCAAGCAGGAAUUCAAGGUAGAUUAAGCUAUUACAUGAUUGGUCCCCUGAAUCUAAUUAAGUCACAUAUUUUCAGGCAACUUAACUCUAAAUACACUUACUUAAAAGCCAUCAUUUAAUGUGAUGUAGGAACACAGUGGGAACAAGGAGAAGGGAUUUGAGUGGAGCAAGCAAAGUUUAAAAUAUCCUUGAUUGUAUCACUUUGUUCAAAUCAAAGACCUUGAAACAAGUUGGAAACAGGAUAUAUGUUCUUUUAACUAAGGGAAUCACAGCUAGGAAUAGUCUGCUUGAUCAGUGCAUGAUCAGCAGAAAGCAGCGGAGCAGUCAAGGCUCCCUGAAUGCCUGAAUGUAGCAGAGUGCUUAUAUGAAAAGCAGCAGGAGGAUAGGCAGAGGCCACAAUUUGAUUUUUCACUUGCUCUCACAUCUUUAAGUUUGUUGUGCUAACUGUGCCUUUACUAUUUUAUAAUCAUUCCCUUGCACCAUGAGGUCAUCAGGCUGUACUCCCAAUGCAAUGUCCAGAGAACACUCCAUGCAGGUGACUUACUUGAGGAGGUGCACAAUGUACUUUUCCCAUCUAUCUGGGACUGUAAUGGUCUAACUCCAUCAAAUAUGAGUCUUUCAGAAUUCACAAUGGUUUCCUCUUCAACAUCUCCCUCAUUCAUGUCACAUCAUUAUCAUGUGUGCCUCACAUAAUUAGCUUAGCUUUUCUAUAUUCUUUCAGUGCAUUUUUUAGCAUUGUUCAUAACUAGAUUCAACAGGUCCAAUGUCUUAUUACUUAUUCCUUCUGUGCCUGUGCCAGUUUUCAAAUUGGAAGGUUUUUGUUAUGCCCCUCGAAUCAUGUAGAAUGAUUCACUUUGAGGUUUUUUGGUUUCUUUACCAUCAGUGCCACACAGUUAAGUUUUGGGAGUGUUAGGAUUUCUGGGAAGAAUUCUGUUGGAUUGCCUACUUGUUUUUCUAUUUGUGUUUUUUGUUUGUUUUGUGUUGAGAAUAGUUAGUUUAUUACAGUGUACUACUUAUUGUAGAGAUGUCUUUGGUUAAUUUCUGAUUUUCAGUGAUGUUCCUUGGAAGGGGUAAACCAGCAGCCAUUGCCUUGUGUCCCAAGAUUGAAUCACUUCUGUUUAAUUGAUAUGUAAGUUUGUAGCAUGCUGGGCCUGAUACACAUUUCUCCAUAAUGGGUCACAAUAUUAUUAAUAACACCAAGUUAAUGUAGAUAUUUGCAUGUCAAAGAAAGUCAAUUAAUAGCAAUACUUUGGUAUGGUAAUUAAAUCAGUAGCCACUGUGUCAUUAAAUGCAAAAUGAAUAGCAACCCUAAGGACCAAUAAAGUACUACACUUAUCAAUAGAAAACAUAUCUAUAUUUAUGGUAUGAAUGCCAAGACAAAAAAAAAUAUUGACCUGCUGUUAACUAAAGUAAAUAUCUACUAAAUGGAAUAUAUUUACCUCUAAAAUGUAGAACAUUAUUCAAAGGCAAUACUGUAAUGUACAUUAAUCACAUAAAGAUUCAUAAAUUCAGUAGCUACACUAGUCAAAAUAGAGGUGUGUGAGAGCAGAGAAUGGAAAAAGGAAUUAACAGAUUAAUGAACAGGAUAUAAGAAAUAUUAGUAUUUGAAAGUGUAAAUAUAGGCAGGUGCUGGGGUUUUGAAAACCUGGUCAUGGCUUGAUUCACCCUCUAAUGGUACAGUGGAUUAGUAGAUUGUUGGUGAGGGGCUAUUUUCUUGGCCACUUAGUGUCUCACACAGGAUGCCACUGGUUUGGUUACACCCAAUGUGAAGUGCUCUCUUUAAAUCAGCAGAGGCUUGUGCCAAGCAUUUGGCUGACUAUAACAAAGGUUGACAAUUGAACCCUCAUCCUUCAACUUAUUGAACUUAUUCAAUCUGCUCCAUCCAUUCUUUUCCAGCCACCGAAAAUGGACUCAGAUACUUACCAAGUGCCAUGAGUUGGAUGACAUUUUCCUUAUAAAACUGAGAAGGUGAUGACCUAUACUUUUUUUGCAGUUCUUAGUGUGGACAAAAAAAUUGUGGGAAGGUAAAAUUAUUAUCAACCAACAUUUCUGCAUAAUUACAGCCACUUGUUCUCUAAUGAGUUUUGGAUGAAGAAAAGAUAUUAAUGAGUUAGAUCACUGUGUCACAGGAAAAAGAAUUUAGAUACACCUCUUUGGAAGGCUCUCAAAUGGUUUGGCCAAAAUAUAUACUCUUUCACAUAAAGAUAAUUUUCCUUCUACACCAGAUAAUCAUUCAGAGUGUUGGUUUAUACCUGGGAAGGAGCGGGAGUGAGAAGAAGCUACUUGGGCCAGUGUCAAGCUGUAGGUGAUGAUCACAUAAAGAAAAUAUUGAAGGUUUCAGUUUGUCUUCUGUCAGUCCAGCAUUCUGUGGCUUUUAUACUAAUUUCUGGAGAAACCUUUUUUGAAAGUGAUGUUCCAGCUGAUGCUACUGGUGGUCUCUACCUUGGUCCCACAUGCAUGGAACUGUUUCAUCCAUGUUAGUCAUAAUUCAUAUUGAUAUCUUCUCCAGACAUCUUCUAUCUACACAGGAAACGCUACCACUGCCAGAUUCAUGGCUGACAGAUCUGCUAGACUUGCUGAUGAAGAUUAAUGUGUCUUGUGGCCCACAGCCCCCAGUAAGUUGUCCUUUUCAGAGCUCUAAGUACCACUAGAUGUCUCAGGUAAGACAUUCUCUAUACUUGUGGACAUAGAGGCCAUGAAUAGUGUUCCUUAGUUUUCAGGUCACUAUAUUAAGUCCUCAAUCUCUACAGUGGGUCUUGAUGACCAGCCUAUGCAGUAUUGAUAGACAGGGCCUUAUUCAUGCAGGUCCCAGAUUCAUUUCUUCUCUGGUCAAUUCCAUAGUUUGACACACCUCCAAUCCCACCUGCAUUGCCCAUGCCAUGCCUUACCACUCAUAUAGUCAUAGUCAUAGAACUCAUAUAGUUAUUUUUGUCAUAGAUCUUAAAAAUGUCUUUUUUUAUUCCUUUGUGUUUAUGCAGACUGACCCAGAGGCUCUGAGGUAUCAACAGCUUACACUUCUUAUCUCUAAUAAAACCUCUCCUCAGGGACACAUAACACCCCCUUUGUUUCCUAUUCAUCAACUUCUCAGAUACAACACUGAUCAAGACUCACAGAUUUUACACACAUGCCCUGCCACAAAACUCUCAAAUAUCUGUCACCUUUGUACUUUUUCAGGAUACAUAAAAGCCUUUCCUAUAACCCGGGAGACUGCUAAUAUACUUAUUAAAGUUCUGUUAUGGCAAAUCAUCCCAAGGGUACAACCAAGGAGGAGUGGCCCAUACGUGGUCUUCUUGGCAUCCUCAACAGUGGUCAGAGUUGCUAAACUGCCAUCCUGCUUCCACGUCACUCAAGUGGUACCCUCCCAGUCCUAAAUCUAACCAUCCUAUCAUCUCUGUUACACCAAAGCCUCACAGCCACAACUCUCAAGCUAUGACAUGUUUUGUAAUUCAGUUUGGUUCCUAAUUUCUUACAUUCUAUUAAUUAUCCUUUUUACAGCAGGACUCUUAACAGUCUUUCUUAAAGACUGCCAUGUCAUGGAUAAGAUCAUCUUCAUGUUGUUCUAUGUGACAACUGUCUUAGUUCUCUCUAUCCUCAGCUGUUUGGUCAAACAUAACACCCCUGAAGGCUUAGGAUUUUACCUUCCCUGUAGUGACAGAGCCAUGGCCAUCCUCACUCCUCUUAUUCUUUACAGCUCAACUUGUGGACCAGAGACAAGUCCUACCUACCUACCCUCUUAACUUUUACCAUGUCAGAUAGGGGAAUAAUCACCUCUCAUAUCUAUACUCUUCUAACCCCACACUUAAGUUUUCAGAAUUCCACUUCACCAUGGUAAUGAUUCUACCUCACCAUGGUAAUGAUUAUGCAUAUUUAAAUCAAAGGCAUAUUUCCUUCUAACUCAACUGGGUCCUUAAGUAUGAUAGUGGCCUGCCUCCUCAUAGUGCCUUAUCUCUUUGUUUUUCCAGUCUAACAUGCAGGCAUUAACCAAUGAUAAAGUUAUCCUGACUGAAACACUGGCACCAGCUUCUGCAUGGGGAUCAACCAUCAUCCCAUCAACUGUCCUAAACCCAAACAUGGCACCCUUUUUCAGCAGGAAGUACUAAGAGAGAGAAAAACUUUGCCCUUUUCCUAACAAUAAAAAAAAGAAUGAAAAGAUUUCACCCUAGAUAGGAUACUACAGCAUUGAGAGGUGGGACCAAGGGACAUUUACCUUCAGGUCAUUUUCUCCACCACUAGACAAUUUACCUGUGGUGCAAGAUGAAUUCCAAUGGGCUGCUAGGAUGUCAGCAAUGACCGUUUAGGCACCAGCCCAGACCAAAGCUAUAUGCAUGCCCCCAGACUACAUGUCUGCCAGAGAAUGCUAGGCCCCAGUGGUCAUGGAGUUUCUCACCACAUCCUUAAAAAUAAAGACCACUUUACUUCAUUUUCUGUCAUCUAAUUUCACCAAAAAUCCUAUCCUAUACUUGUGAAGGGAAGAUACAAGUUGGAGUCAGUGUCUCCUGAAAAUUUCUGGUCUCCUUUGCAGCCCUAACCUUCAGGAUGACCUUCCACUUAAGAGCUGCCACCAACAAGAGGAUCCUCCAUGCCAGGUCCAUGGUGAGGAACAUGGUGUAGAAGGAAGUGAUGGCUGUGGAAUCAUGUAGCCAUAGACAUAUCCAUAUUUACCUCAGGCAAAUGAGGCAUUGCAUAUUUACUUCAGGAAAAUUGAGUUAUUUGCAUAUUAACAUGGCAGAAAUUUCUUAGCUCUUCACUCAACCCUAAUCAAACCAGAGGACAAAGUAGUUUUCCAUAGGCUAUGCAGCAGUGUGCUGUGAGGAUCCAUGUGCUUAUCCUGUCUGAGCAAAUGAACGUCCUGCCACUUCUGUAAGUCCUGUGCAUACAGCCCUCACUUCUCUAAGAAUCAAAGCACACAGAAAGGCUCUGCACUCUGAAUCCCCCUCUGAAUGAAAUAUAUACCACCUGAACUUCUUCUUGGGCAUGAAUUUUUAAUAAGACAGGUCUCAGAUCCUAAGGAAACAGCUCCAGGUUUCACAACUGCUCCCAAACUGUAGAAGUGUAUGGAAGAUUCUAGUAAUCCAGCUUCUCCUGAACCACAGGUUAGUCCCUGUCUGGGUCACAAAAAUUUAUAUACACUGCCUCCAGCCCACAGGAAAGAGUUGAACCAGUUGCAGUGUAUCUUUCAGUGUGGGUAAACAUGAUUUGUAUCUAAGGCAGGCUUCACUCCAUCUGCAAAUGUCCCAAAACCAAUCAUCAUGGUCUAUAUAACACCUUGGUGAAGAAGGUAUGGCCUGCAGAGUGUCAGCCCACCCAGCACAUGUAUUAGUGCAUGGCUCUAUACCCUACCUGUGGCACAUUCUACUGGACUCAUCUUGUUGGACUUCUUGCUCAGUUUAUUGGGCAAGGCACACUAGAAUGAUGACUCUGCACUAGAUCUUAAGGGACCGAAUUAGAUUUACCUAGGAUCUAUACCAUGAUCAGAGGUGCUUUAGGCUAAUUAGUGUGGCCUGUGCCUAGAAUUCCCAGUGGAGCCACAUGUGUGUACCUGUCCCAGACCAACUGAUAGGUGAGACCCAGAGCAGGACACAUUCAUCAUGUUAAUAAUCAUGGCUCCAAAAUAGAGCAGCCUGGCUGGACCAUAGAAUGGUCCAGAGCUUGUCUGGCCCAGAAAGGACUGCAUUCAACCUGAGGAGGACUAGAGUGACUUUAGCAAACUUGGAUCAGGAAUCCAAACUGAGAACUUUACAAUGUGGCCUUCAGGGUAUCCCAAAGUGCUAAAAACUGUGUUUACCUCAAACCCUCAUUAUGUCCUGAGUUCCCUCCCAGCAACUGCCUAAGCUGUGGUAUCAGGACCUCAUGUUUCAGUCACCACUAGUCAUAUGAGCCCAAGGUUGCAGUUGAGGAGAGCUAUGGAAGGACACAUGUUUCUUGGUGUCUCCUGAACCUGAUCUGCAUAAUGCAGACACUAGAGAAAACACACGAGGAGGUAGCAUCAUUGCCCACUGAUCCUGUGAGUUACUGCCAGGGAAACAUCUGGGUCAGAAGCUCCCUGGUUAUCUGCUUAAUCUCCAUUAGGGACACCCAACUUCUACAGGACACCUUGUCAAAUGGAGUGUCAUGGUGCUAUUCUGUUGGUUUCAGGAUGCUUGUUUCUUCCCCUUGUGUCCUCAGAUCCCUUAGCAGACAUGGAUACAGAGUCUGAAUUCUCAGGCAGGAAUUUCCGUUUUGUGAUCCUUGGCCUGUGAAUCUAGGUGCAAAUGCAGAGAAACGCCUGGAUGUUCCACAAAUCCCAAAACAAAAAGAAUAAACCUGGAAUAAGACACGAAGAGGAGAAGAAAAAACGAACCUGAGUCUCUGAAGGAUGUGAGCAGAGUGUAGCAGUUAUUUGUGAGUGAGGCUGGACAGGGCUAUCUUGCCCUCUCCUGUCUUAUCUGCAGUCUGGUCCUUGGCUUCUACAAAUUUUUGCUCAAAUUAACAGAGGACCUGUAGCCUCUUCAUCUUUCAGCCACUCUCAUCACACUGUUUAAGUGAGCAAAUGAAAUUCACUCUUACUUUAGAGCAAAAAAUCACCAUGAGAGUAGAGAAUAGAGUAUAGAGGUAUGCUUGAUAAUUUAAGGAAAGUUUUGUAAUAAAAUAUGACUGAUACAUACAGAAUCAACAGACUUAAAAUAAGUAAUAUCAAUAUGAAAUUUUGAGCCUCUGAUAAAGAAACAGUGUAUGUUAUGAAAAUGUAAAUUUCAUCAUAAAUAUUCUCUAUUAUUUUACUGAUUCAUAGAUUGAAAUCUAUGGGAGAAAAUGGUAUGGGGAGGAGAGAUAUAGAGAGACAGAUGAGACAGUGACUGAGAAAGAGACACAAAGAGAUUGUAUCUCAUUGCUGUUACAAAACACAAAACACACAGAUGUUUAAGGAGGACAAUUUUAUUUAAAUAACAGUUUAUAGAUAUUCCAGUGCAUAGUUCUUUGGUUCCAUGUCAUGACUACAUGACAGAGGAGUCUGGAACAUGGUAAAUAUUUCAUGGAAUGACAGGCAUAAACAACCUACCUUAACUUUCAACUAGCCAUUUGUAUUCUAUCUAGGCUUCAAGUCCAUUUGUUGGUGCUACUCAGAUUCAAGGUGGGCCUGCCAUUAUUCACACUCAGAACUGUGACAAAUCCAUUUAGCGCAUGACUUUAACCCAUAUUCUCUCACCUUUGGCUACCCAAAGCCAUAUAUCCCCACAUAAGUAAGCAUACUUACGUGGUAUUUGGGGUCAUCUAGAUCCAAGUCAUAGCAUUUCAUCCAUGGUCCCCAAAGCAUUCAUGUGCAAAACAAUUUAAAUGCAUUUAGUCCACCUAUAAGAGUUGGCAAAAUCUUAAUAUUUUCAGCAAUGUUGACUUCUUAAAUCCAAAUUUUCCACCGAAGUAUAAGCAGUGAACCAUUUUAAGAACACCUUUAACACACAAUAGCUCAAGGUAAAUGUUCCAAAAAGAUACAGAGAGAAAAAAGAAAAGAAUGGAACUUAAUCAACUCUAAUACCCAGAAGGAAGAUCUUUUAAAUUCCAUAGUUACACAUCCAGGUUGUGUUACAAUCUGUAGCAAGUUGUGAACUCUCAGGGGCUUGAAUUCUGUGAAACUACAGAAAUGAGAGUGAAUGUACAUUCCAUGUCUUCCAUGUUGAGACACGUUUGCUCUGUCUGUGUAGCUUCUAGGGAAAAAUAUUUCUGGCUUCUCCAAGAACAUUCUUGGUUCUUCACUGGGAUUGAGCUUCCUGUACAGUUUCAAACACUGCCUGCUCAGAAUUACACUUCCUGCUAUCCAAAGCCUUCUUCUGAAAUCUGGUUAGGAGCCUUCCUGACUUCAAAACUCUUGAAUUCUGCAUGUGCCAAAAUUCAAUACAAGUUGAAAGAUGCCAAGUAUACCACCAAGUGGAAUAAUGGUCAAUUUCUCUUUUUUUGUUUGUAGGGGACAAAUGUCUCAAUUUCUAACAGCUAUGAGAUCAGUCUGAGGAACAAUUUUGCUGGGCCACCAUCCAGAAAGAACAUGAUGAACUGUAACUGUCUUCUCAAAGUAAAGGUUCUGAAGUUGAAAUGCAUUUGGUACAGCCUGGGGCUAAUCUGAGAAAGCCCUGGGCCUCAGUGAAGGUCUCCUGUAAGGUUUCAGGCUACACCUUCACAGACUGCCUCAUACAGUGGGUGCUACAGAGACCAGGGUAAGAUCCUGGAGUGUAUGGGAUGGAUUCAUCCAGAGGAUGGAGAAACUGGAUAAGCUCAGAAGUUCCAGGGCACUGGCAUGCUCAUCUCAGUCAUGUCCUCCAGCACAGCCUUAGCUCAGGAGCUGAGCAGCCUGAGAGUCAAGGACAAGGCCAUGUAUUGCUGGGCAAGACACACAGUGUGGGGACAUCAGGCCAGAAUAAACUUCCCUGCAGGGAAACUCAGGAACAGCAGGGGUCGCAUGAGAGCAGCAGCUAUACUCUUUACCACUUGUAUUCUACCCACACCCUGUCUUUAGCUACCAUGCCAGUAAGCCAGAGCCUGGGCAUAAUCCAGAAGGAAAGAGCUGCCUGACACGCUCAUGACCUUUCAGGAAAUUUCCACCAGAACAGGCUUCUAGUUCAGUUUUCGUUCAUUUCCAUCCAUUUCCAAAAAUGGCAGGUGCCGUUUACAAUGGUAUUUUCAAGAUAUUGAAUGCAAAUUCGAAAAAGUGAACAAAUAUGAAUUCAGUUUAAGUUCACUUAUUUAAACAGGCACCAAUACACAGAAACAUUAACAAAUACAUAGAGAUGUUUCAUAUCCCACACCAAUUUUCUCUACUAUUGGCAACUCAUAUUGGUAGGCUCCUCUUCCUUCAUAUAAAUCACCAAUCAUGACAUUUAAUUAAGUCACAAUUUUUAAAUCUUUUUUAUUUUAAAGAGUUUAAGACAAAAGAGGAUGUAACAAAGCAGAUCAGAACAAUGUAAGCAACACUGUAUUUCACCACAACUCACAAUUAACAGUAACUACCAUAAUGUAACUCACAAUUUUUAACUGAGUCUCUUUUUAAUUAAAAAAAAUGUUAUUUUGUUUUGUCCACUAAAAGUUUAUUUCAAUCAGAUUGUAAAGGUUUAAUGUAGAUUAUGUCAAAAGAGUAAUUUAAUUCUACACUUUAAAAUAAUAAGUGUAUUUACUUAGAAUUGAAUGUUCUACCAUACUCCAUAGCUUUUGUUUAUUUUUAUUAGCAUGUACCUUGUAUACAGUAUAUAUAUUGUGGAUAUAUGUGUAUAUUGUGCAUAUACAGUACUCAUAUUGUGGAUGGAGAAUUGGCUGAUCAUGCUCAUGUAUAUUCAAGUCAUUGUUUUGGAGUACAUACAUUUGUGCAUAACUACUUUGAGGGAAGCAAUUGAAAAUUAGAGCACAAGCUUCUGAACAGAACUUUGAAAAACUAUUGCAAAUCAGAAGCUAUUCUGUUGACAGUCCCCAAAAGUAUAAGUAAAUUAUCUGAGUAAUACAUUAUUAAACAAGAUAUGUAGAUGGCAAAUAGUCAUGUGAAUGCCAAAUUGCUAUUACUUUAAUUAUGGAAACCCCAAUUAAACAUCAAGAAACCACCAAAUGCUUUGCUUGGUGAAUCCAGUCCUCACAAGAAGUUACCAGCUUGCUAACCUGCUGAGCUGUUGAAACUCGCACUCCUUGCUGGUUGGAGCUUGAGAAGGCAGAAUCACAGAGAAGAUACUGUGAUGCAAAACCAGACCUCAUCAGAAAGCACACCCCAGUGAAGAACAUGCUUCAGGUGUUUAUCUGACAGAUUGAAAAAGGGACAAAAAGAAAGAUGGGAGAGAUUGGUGGAUGAAUACUGAGGACUGUUCUGUGGAACAAGAAGCUCUUGUUGGUUUUUCAAAUUAGGAUCAGUAUAAGUGACAGUACUGCACUGUGAAUUUCACAAAGCUAGCAGAACAGAGUCGGGAUGAUUUUAUCAUAAAAGUGAAAAGUGCUUCUCUAGAUUUAGACUCAGCAUGAGGUUAACAUGUAUUGACAAAUCACAUGUUAUCACUAAGGUAGGUAUAAACUGCAUGAUUUUAGGUUCCAUCUAAAGUAAAUUAAAACAAAUAAAAUAAAAAAAGUUAUAUUAGAAAAA